AGAAGUGCUGUCUUACCUUGAGCACGUAAGAUCAGGGAGAGAGGCUCGCUGGCUCCCACGGAGAGGAUCGGGGAAGGGCUGUGAUCCGCUGCUGGCAAGGCUUAUUUGACAAGGAAGUUCCUGCGCUGCCUGUCCUCUGAGCAUCCAGAGGCCCCUUUUGAGACUUCGGCAGCAUUAAAGUAAAUCCAGCAACGGGGAGGAUUCGCGUGGACUUGCUUGUGGAGACAGGAACCUCAGAACCAGCCUGGGUCUUCCAGCAUCUGCUUAUGUAACGUAGGAUUUCAGAGCUCUCUGCCCUCUGGUUAUUUUCGGUAUUUAAAACACUCUCAUUCCUAACAAUCGGAAAACGUCUUGGUGCCACAGUUCUUUCUCAGUGUGUCUUAAACAUUAAGAGAGGAUUCAACCAACAAGUGGCUAAAGGAUCAGUCUGAAAUUACUAAGAAAUGCAUUCAGAGAAAGAAAAACAAGCUCCUUUCGCUGCUGAGUGGUGACUCACUUCCUAGCCCAAGCCUGAUUUUUGCCACCAAAGGAAUUAAAGCAUUUUAAAAGAGAACCUGAGACUUGGGGUGGGAGAUACAGUACCGGGAGGGGGAAAAGGCGGGAAUGGGAGGGGGGAGGGAUGGGUAGGCUGGAAAUAAUAAAGGAACGAACUUGUACUGAA